GGAGCAGUGGCUGAAAGGUUAGGCGGGUGAUUGCAAAUCACUUCCAUGGCGGUUCAAUUCCGUCCUGCUCCUCCA
rnacentral:tRNA from 1 species